UACGGAGGGUGCAAGCGUUAAUCGGAAUUACUGGGCGUAAAGGGCGCGUAGGUGGCUGUUUAAGUUGGCUGUGAAAUUCCUGGGCUUAACCUGGGAAUUGCAUUUCAAACUGGCCGACUAGAGUACGGUAGAGGGAGGUAGAAUUUCCUGUGUAGCGGUGAAAUGCGUAGAUAUAGGAAGGAAUACCAGUGGCGAAGGCGGCCUCCUGGAUCGAUACUGACGCUGAGGCGCGAAAGCGUGGGGAGCAAACAGG
rnacentral:rRNA from 1 species